CAGUUCGGUCCCUAUCUGCCGUGGGCGCUGGAGAAUUGAGGGGGGCUGCUCCUAGUACGAGAGGACCGGAGUGGACGCAUCACUGGUGUUCGGGUUGUCAUGCCAAUGGCACUGCCCGGUAGCUAAAUGCGGAAGAGAUAAGUGCUGAAAGCAUCUAAGCACGAAACUUGCCCCGAGAUGAGUUCUCCCUGAGACUUUAAGUCUCCUGAAGGAACGUUAAAGACGAUGACGUUGAUAGGCCGGGUGUGUAAGCGCAGCGAUGCGUUGAGCUAACCGGUACUAAUGAACCGUGAGGCUUAACCUUACAACGCCGAAG
rnacentral:rRNA from 1 species